rfam:Ignavibacteria bacterium GWF2_33_9 gwf2_scaffold_1532, whole genome shotgun sequence.
CAGGAGUAUGCCGAAAAUCCUUAAAAGAGUAGGCA